rnacentral:rRNA from 1 species
UACAGAGGUCUCAAGCGUUGUUCGGAUUCAUUGGGCGUAAAGGGCGCGUAGGCUGCGGAGGAGGUGGUGAGAAUCUAGAGCUCAACUCUGAAACUGCACUCGAUACUGCUUUGCUCGAGGACUGGAGAGGAGAUUGGAAUUCACGGUGUAGCAGUGAAAUGCGUAGAUAUCGUAAGGAAGACCAGUGGCGAAGGCGGGUCUCUGGACAGUUCCUGACGCUGAGGCACGAAGGCCAGGGGAGCAAACGGG